AACUCUGGUAUUGAUUGGUGCUUGCAUCAUGAUUUACAUUUGAGUGAGUGGCGAACUGGUGAGUAACACGUGGGAAACCUGCCCAGAAGCGGGGGAUAACACCUGGAAACAGAUGCUAAUACCGCAUAACAACUUGGACCGCAUGGUCCGAGUUUGAAAGAUGGCUUCGGCUAUCACUUUUGGAUGGUCCCGCGGCGUAUUAGCUAGAUGGUGGGGUAACGGCUCACCAUGGCAAUGAUACGUAGCCGACCUGAGAGGGUAAUCGGCCACAUUGGGACUGAGACACGGCCCAAACUCCUACGGGAGGCAGCAGUAGGGAAUCUUCCACAAUGGACGAAAGUCUGAUGGAGCAACGCCGCGUGAGUGAAGAAGGGUUUCGGCUCGUAAAACUCUGUUGUUAAAGAAGAACAUAUCUGAGAGUAACUGUUCAGGUAUUGACGGUAUUUAACCAGAAAGCCACGGCUAACUACGUGCCAGCAGCCGCGGUAAUACGUAGGUGGCAAGCGUUGUCCGGAUUUAUUGGGCGUAAAGCGAGCGCAGGCGGUUUUUUAAGUCUGAUGUGAAAGCCUUCGGCUCAACCGAAGAAGUGCAUCGGAAACUGGGAAACUUGAGUGCAGAAGAGGACAGUGGAACUCCAUGUGUAGCGGUGAAAUGCGUAGAUAUAUGGAAGAACACCAGUGGCGAAGGCGGCUGUCUGGUCUGUAACUGACGCUGAGGCUCGAAAGUAUGGGUAGCAAACAGGAUUAGAUACCCUGGUAGUCCAUACCGUAAACGAUGAAUGCUAAGUGUUGGAGGGUUUCCGCCCUUCAGUGCUGCAGCUAACGCAUUAAGCAUUCCGCCUGGGGAGUACGGCCGCAAGGCUGAAACUCAAAGGAAUUGACGGGGGCCCGCACAAGCGGUGGAGCAUGUGGUUUAAUUCGAAGCUACGCGAAGAACCUUACCAGGUCUUGACAUACUAUGCAAAUCUAAGAGAUUAGACGUUCCCUUCGGGGACAUGGAUACAGGUGGUGCAUGGUUGUCGUCAGCUCGUGUCGUGAGAUGUUGGGUUAAGUCCCGCAACGAGCGCAACCCUUAUUAUCAGUUGCCAGCAUUAAGUUGGGCACUCUGGUGAGACUGCCGGUGACAAACCGGAGGAAGGUGGGGAUGACGUCAAAUCAUCAUGCCCCUUAUGACCUGGGCUACACACGUGCUACAAUGGAUGGUACAACGAGUUGCGAACUCGCGAGAGUAAGCUAAUCUCUUAAAGCCAUUCUCAGUUCGGAUUGUAGGCUGCAACUCGCCUACAUGAAGUCGGAAUCGCUAGUAAUCGCGGAUCAGCAUGCCGCGGUGAAUACGUUCCCGGGCCUUGUACACACCGCC
rnacentral:rRNA from 1 species